AGGACGAACGCUGGCGGCGUGCCUAAUACAUGCAAGUCGAACGAACUCUGGUAUUGAUUGGUGCUUGCAUCAUGAUUUACAUUUGAGUGAGUGGCGAACUGGUGAGUAACACGUGGGAAACCUGCCCAGAAGCGGGGGAUAACACCUGGAAACAGAUGCUAAUACCGCAUAACAACUUGGACCGCAUGGUCCGAGUUUGAAAAAUGGCUUCGGCUAUCACUUUUGGAUGGUCCCGCGGCGUAUUAGCUAGAUGGUGGGGUAACGGCUCACCAUGGCAAUGAUACGUAGCCGACCUGAGAGGGUAAUCGGCCACAUUGGGACUGAGACACGGCCCAAACUCCUACGGGAGGCAGCAGUAGGGAAUCUUCCACAAUGGACGAAAGUCUGAUGGAGCAACGCCGCGUGAGUGAAGAAGGGUUUCGGCUCGUAAAACUCUGUUGUUAAAGAAGAACAUAUCUGAGAGUAACUGUUCAGGUAUUGACGGUAUUUAACCAGAAAGCCACGGCUAACUACGUGCCAGCAGCCGCGGUAAUACGUAGGUGGCAAGCGUUGUCCGGAUUUAUUGGGCGUAAAGCGAGCGCAGGCGGUUUUUUAAGUCUGAUGUGAAAGCCUUCGGCUCAACCGAAGAAGUGCAUCGGGAACUGGGAAACUUGAGUGCAGAAGAGGACAGUGGAACUCCAUGUGUAGCGGUGAAAUGCGUAGAUAUAUGGAAGAACACCAGUGGCGAAGGCGGCUGUCUGGUCUGUAACUGACGCUGAGGCUCGAAAGUAUGGGUAGCAAACAGGAUUAGAUACCCUGGUAGUCCAUACCGUAAACGAUGAAUGCUAAGUGUUGGAGGGUUUCCGCCCUUCAGUGCUGCAGCUAACGCAUUAAGCAUUCCGCCUGGGGAGUACGGCCGCAAGGCUGAAACUCAAAGGAAUUGACGGGGGCCCGCACAAGCGGUGGAGCAUGUGGUUUAAUUCGAAGCUACGCGAAGAACCUUACCAGGUCUUGACAUACUAUGCAAAUCUAAGAGAUUAGACGUUCCCUUCGGGGACAUGGAUACAGGUGGUGCAUGGUUGUCGUCAGCUCGUGUCGUGAGAUGUUGGGUUAAGUCCCGCAACGAGCGCAACCCUUAUUAUCAGUUGCCAGCAUUAAGUUGGGCACUCUGGUGAGACUGCCGGUGACAAACCGGAGGAAGGUGGGGAUGACGUCAAAUCAUCAUGCCCCUUAUGACCUGGGCUACACACGUGCUACAAUGGAUGGUACAACGAGUUGCGAACUCGCGAGGGUAAGCUAAUCUCUUAAAGCCAUUCUCAGUUCGGAUUGUAGGCUGCAACUCGCCUACAUGAAGUUGGAAUCGCUAGUAAUCGCGGAUCAGCAUGCCGCGGUGAAUACGUUCCCGGGCCUUGUACACACCGCCCGUCACACCAUGAGAGUUUGUAACACCCAAAGUCGGUGGGGUAACCUUUUAGGAACCAGCCGCCUAAGGUGGGACAGAUGA
rnacentral:rRNA from 1 species